AGUGCUCGGGUCCCACCGCCCUGAGGCUCGCGCUCGAGCGGGUCAGUCGGUCGGCGGGGCCUGCGCGGGGCCCGGGCCCAUGGCGGCGUCGGCGGCUCUGUCUGCAGCGGCGGCUGCGGCGGCCCUGUCUGGCCUGGCGGUGCGGCUGUCGCGCUCAGCUGCGGCCCGAGGCUCGUACGGCGCCUUCUGCAAGGGGCUCACGCGCACGCUGCUCACCUUCUUCGACCUGGCCUGGCGGCUGCGCAUGAACUUCCCCUACUUCUACAUCGUGGCCUCGGUGAUGCUUAACGUCCGCCUGCAGGUGCGGAUCGAGUGAGCGCCGGCGGCGGCGGCGGCGAAGGCCCGGCUGAAGGGGCGCCCGUGUCCCCGCCCGCCCCCGGCCGGGUCGCCGGCAUGAAGGAAAGCUGGGCCGCGGCGGGGGGCGGAGGCGGGGCGGCUCGGACCCCUGGACUCUAGACCUACGCCGCCAGGGCACGACGGCCCAGCCCUGGCCCCGGCUGCGGUCUCAGCCCGGGGGCCCUGGAUCGCGCAGAAACGCACUGAAUGGGCCCCUGCCAUCGGGCUCCAGAAACUACCUGGGCUCGGCCGACCUGUUGCCUCAUAUUGGCCAAAGAGGGGGAAACCAGAAGGAGGGAAUUCUGCUGCGGCGACUUGACUUUCCAGGCCCGGAGCAGAAAGGCAUUGGCAUUUGUAGGCGGUGACCCGCCCCUUCUCUGGCCUUGCCAAGAGUCACAUCCCUGCCCAGGGGCACCUCUGGCCCUGGAACUUGCCUGGGCAGAGGCAGCGUGAAGGGCCUGAACAAGAGGAGAAGAAGGGCCUUCCUAGUAGAGGCACAGCAUGGACAAAGGCUCACAGGGGUGGGGGUGCCCAGUGAUCGAGUCCUGGCUUGGGAAGGAAGAUGGUCCUCUUUAUCCCCACUCCAGGGAUCACAUGACUUGGCAAAGCAAGAUGGGAAAUGAUCCUCCCAGAGCCUGGCUCCAAGGCUUCUUGAAGAGGGAGGAUCACCCCUCCCAUCCCUGCUACAGAGGAAAAGGCAGGAAGGCCGGUUCUGCUCCGAUGGGACUCCAGGAGACCAAAGCCCUGAGCCCUGAGCCCAGCUCUUCCACUUACUACUGUGUGGUGCCAGGCAAGCUGUGCACAACCUGGAGUUUUUAGUAAGGUUCCGUUGGGAUGCUUGUAAGCAGUGAAUACGAUGAUGUCUGUUCAUUGUUUGUCAUCAGGUCUCACCUGGAGCAGCCUUGUUACUGUGGGGAAAAGGAACCAAGUGAAGGGAAUCGGCCUCUGAUGAGAGCCUGCCAUGUGCCAGGCACCAUACUAGGUGCUUUGCAUUCCUAAUCUCAUCAUUAUCACACAACCACCUAACCAUUAUCCCUGUUUUACAGAGAAACCAAAGACAGGAACCAAGUCUGAAACAGAGCCCCAAGAAGAAGCUCUUUUCCUGAGCUACCAGUGCCCCUUGGAGAGGCAGGGAAUUGGGCUGGAAGAAUGGUGGAAUGGAAUAGCAAAGAUGGAAGAUGACCCUGUCCUUUCUGGGUGAGGUCCAGAAGAAAUCCAGGGCUUGGAUGAGGGGUAGACCUGAGAGCCUUCUCCAAAUGGAACUCCCCAGUGGGAGCAGCUGUGGCCACCCUGAGAUGGGUCUACCUGUCUUCCUUCCAUUCCACCUCCAGAGAUUGAUUGGGACCUAAGAGACUGAGUCAGGAGAGGGCAAGAAAGCAGCUAAGUGGGAAGUUUCAGGGGCACUAGAGCAAAUACAUUGAGAAAUGGGAAAUACAAACAGCAUGCAAAAUCAC
rnacentral:lncRNA from 1 species